rnacentral:tRNA from 1 species
GCCUCGUUAGCUCAGCUGGAUAGAGCAGGGAACUUCUAAUUCUCAGGUCAGGGGUUCGAGUCCCUUACGGGGUA